UACGUAGGGUGCAAGCGUUGUCCGGAAUUACUGGGCGUAAAGCGUGCGUAGGCGGCUUUGCAAGACAGAUGUGAAAUCCCCAGGCUUAACCUGGGAACUGCAUUUGUGACUGCAUGGCUGGAGUGCGGCAGAGGGGGAUGGAAUUCCGCGUGUAGCAGUGAAAUGCGUAGAUAUGCGGAGGAACACCGAUGGCGAAGGCAAUCCCCUGGGCCUGCACUGACGCUCAUGCACGAAAGCGUGGGGAGCAAACAGG
rnacentral:rRNA from 1 species